rnacentral:rRNA from 1 species
UGAACGCUGGCGGCGUGCCUAAUACAUGCAAGUCGAACGAGAGUGCUUGCACUCUAGUGGCGAACGGGUGAGUAACACGUAGGUAACCUGCCUUACAGGUUGGGAUACCCUGGCGAAAGCUAGGCUAAUACCGAAUAAUUGGAUUGGAGGCAUCUCCGAUCUCUAAAAGGGGCCUUUAAAGCCUCGCUGAAUGAUGGACCUGCGGCGCAUUAGCUAGUUGGUGAGAUAACAGCCCACCAAGGCGAGGACGCGUAGCCGACCUGAGAGGGUGAACGGCCACACUGGAACUGAGACACGGUCCAGACUCCUACGGGAGGCAGCAGUAGGGAGUUUUCGGCAAUGGGGGCAACCCUGACCGAGCAACGCCGCGUGAAUGAUGAAGGUCUUCGGAUUGUAAAGUUCAGUUAUAAGGGAAAAAUGAUAUGGUGAGGAAAUGCUCCAUAUUUGAUGGUACCUUAUUAGAAAGCCACGGCUAACUACGUGCCAGCCGCCGC